rnacentral:rRNA from 1 species
GUUUUCCCUUUGGGGGAAUUUUCCGCAAUGGGCGAAAGCCUGACGGAGCAAUACCGCGUGAGGGAGGAAGGCUCUUGGGUCGUAAACCUCUUUUCUCAAGGAAGAAGAAAGUGACGGUACUUGAGGAAUCAGCAUCGGCUAACUCCGUGCCAGCAGCCGCGGUAAUACGGAGGAUGCAAGCGUUAUCCGGAAUGAUUGGGCGUAAAGCGUCCGCAGGUGGCAGUGUGUGUCUGCUGUUAAAGAGUCUAGCUCAACUAGAUAAAAGCAGUGGAAACUACACAGCUAGAGUACGUUCGGGGCAGAGGGAAUUCCUGGUGUAGCGGUGAAAUGCGUAGAGAUCAGGAAGAACACCGGUGGCGAAAGCGCUCUGCUAGGCCGUAACUGACACUGAGGACGAAAAGGU